UUCAUUAAUGCAAUUUUUUUGUAUUUUCAGACUAUUAAUUACAAGUACAGCAUCAUCAACGGUGAUUGCAAGAACUACUGCAAUCCCUGCGGUUUUUCCUCUUGGUAAAUGCGUUCUGGUCGUGACCAAGGGUGGUCUCCCAAAUCGGCCGGGAAUAAGGCUAUUGUUGCAGAACAAAACGCCGCAACCACUGCUGUGGUAAAUAUGUUCCAGCAGAACUGCCCAUCGCCGUCGGUGUAAUGAUUUCGAUAGCUGAACAAACGCCAUCACCUGGGCAUUCCCACACCUUGCCGACACUAGCUAUUAUAUCACUUGUGAAUGCAACUGCGGCUUAAUUUGGUUAUUAACAGUGCAAUAGUACCAUGUCAUUGGCAAAAACACUAAGGGCUGCUGGCA